rnacentral:rRNA from 1 species
GACGAACGCUGGCGGCGUGCUUAACACAUGCAAGUCGAACGGAAAGGCCCUGCUUUUGUGGGGUGCUCGAGUGGCGAACGGGUGAGUAACACGUGAGUAACCUGCCCUUGACUUUGGGAUAACUUCAGGAAACUGGGGCUAAUACCGGAUAGGAGCUCCUGCUGCAUGGUGGGGGUUGGAAAGUUUCGGCGGUUGGGGAUGGACUCGCGGCUUAUCAGCUUGUUGGUGGGGUAGUGGCUUACCAAGGCUUUGACGGGUAGCCGGCCUGAGAGGGUGACCGGCCACAUUGGGACUGAGAUACGGCCCAGACUCCUCCGGGAGGCAGCAGUGGGGAAUAUUGCACAAUGGGCGGAAGCCUGAUGCAGCAACGCCGCGUGCGGGAUGACGGCCUUCGGGUUGUAAACCGCUUUCGCCUGUGACGAAGCGUGAGUGAGGGUAAUGGGUAAAGAAGCACCGGCUAACUACGUG